AACGAACGCUGGCGGCAGGCUUAACACAUGCAAGUCGAACGCACUCUUCGGAGUGAGUGGCAGACGGGUGAGUAACGCGUGGGAAUCUACCCAGUUCUACGGAACAACAGUUGGAAACGACUGCUAAUACCGUAUACGCCCUACGGGGGAAAGAUUUAUCGGAAUUGGAUGAGCCCGCGUAAGAUUAGCUAGUUGGUGGGGUAAUGGCCUAC
rnacentral:rRNA from 1 species